GUGUCAGCCGCCGCGGUAAUACGGAGGGCGCAAGCGUUGCCCGGAAUCACUGGGUGUAAAGGGUGCGUAGGCGGGGCUGUAAGUCAGAGGUGAAAGCCCCCGGCUCAACCGGGGAAUUGCCUCUGAUACUGCAGCUCUUGAGUCCCGGAGAGGCCGCUGGAAUUCCUGGUGUAGCGGUGAAAUGCGUAGAUAUCAGGAGGAACACCAGAGGCGAAGGCGGGCGGCUGGACGGGGACUGACGCUGAGGCACGAAAGCGUGGGGAGCAAACAGGAUUAGAUACCCUGGUAGUCCACGCCGUAAACGAUGGAUGCUCGGCGUUGCCGCCUUCGGGUGGCAGUGCCUAAGCUAACGCGUUAAGCAUCCCACCUGGGGAGUACGGCCGCAAGGUUGAAACUCAAAUGAAUUGGCGGGG
rnacentral:rRNA from 1 species